GAACAAAAGCCCAAAAGCUAAUCUAAAAAGCAAGAAAAAACAAAAGAACAGAGGAAAGUAUAGUUUAGUUGUUGUCUCGAAGCUUCCAUGGCUUGUUGAGCUUCUCUUCUUCAAUGCCCGAGUAAUGAAACUCCAAUGCGAAGAUGUUGAUCUGAUGCUUCAAGGUGAGUGUAUCGAUUCAACUCGCCAAUAUAAUUUGUAUAGUUGCAAACCAAAACUAGCUUAGAGCCAAAAAGAGUUUUUACUAUUAACAUUCUACGCCUUUUUGGGUAGGUUCCACAUCAAGACAUCCGAAUAAGCUCUAACCUGAUGUUAUGGUAAUCGAUCCCAAACAUGAAAAUUUCUUCAAAGUAUAGAUUUAUACAGUCAAAUCUAUCUACUCAAGGUAAGGUUCCAGCCAGAUCUGUACUAGAUUCACAACUUUGAGAUACUUUCUAUGUUGGUCUAUUUAACUAAACUUUUCUCCGUCGUUUAAGUAGGUUGACCCUCACAAAGAAGUUAAUACCACUGUCUAACUUCAGGAGAUGGAAAUUCAGUCAAAUAGGUUGGUAUAUAACUUACAUAUUCUAGUACAUUUGUAUUGUGAACCUUGUUUUAUGUAUUGUAACAACCUGUCAAAGGCCUCUUAUCUUUAGAUGAUUUGUAUGACUUGCAUUCCUAUGCAUUGUGUCGUUUACCUUCUGAAAACAUAGCCUUGAAACUCUUUGCUUAUCUAUGUUUAAUAGAUUUCUUGCUCUAAUGGGUAGAUUUGCAAAAUGAGUAUAGUUUAUCGAACAUGCAAAAUGGAAAACAAUGUUAACUAAAAUAUCUGCCACCUGGUUCCCAAUAGUAAUCCCUUCCGUUUCCUUCCAUUCUUGAAUCCUUAUCAUUUCCGUACUAAUAUUCCAUGGAAUCUUUCAAUCAUUUUCAAUGAUCCUUUUCAUUGCCAAAGAAUCAGUUUCCACCACUAAAGACAAAUAGUUUUGAGGCAAAAUUCUAUGCCCUGUUCAAUUGCUUUAGCUUCAACAUAGAGGCUUGUUGCAUUGGAGAUGCUAUUAGUACUAGCAUGAAUACAUUUCAAAUGUGUCAUUCCUGGCGCAAAAGGCCCAUGAUGCAAAACCAGAGUUUCCUUUUGAGGAGCCAUCUGUGUUGCAUUUAACAAAACCUUUAGGUGGAAAUUGCCAAUUAAUAGGCUGACAGAAUAUAUGAGAUUAAAGAGCUUUAAAAUAUUGCACAAUAAGAAUUUAGGCAUUGAGAAUUUUGGAUAGCCAAGGAUACAUCACCACAGAAUAUUGGCGCCGAUUAAGAUCAAUAUCAUAGAAGUCCCUAGCGGUAGACAUUACCUCCAUGUACCAAAUUGUUUCUCCAUCUUCAAAUGUGCCACACUAGAGAAGAAAUAAAAAUUCAUCCAAAUAAGUGUGAAGAUAUGUGUACUCACAGUCAUAUUGAGUCCAACCAAUGGUCAUUUUUUCAAGAUCAUACAGAAAAAGUUUGUUUGAUAACAUUAUAUCUGCAUAAAAAAUUUCACAAGUCAUGCCACCAACAUGUCUAGCAAUUAUGACAAGCUGCAUAUUUGAUACAUAAUUCCUGUUCAGCUGAGCCGUACUACUUUCACAAAUGAAUGGAGGAAUACUUACAAUUAUAAUUACAAAAGAAGAAAAUGUUAAUAAUAAAAUUUAUAAUUGAAUUUAAUUUUUUUCCAGGUUUGGAAAGAAUAUAUCUCUGACUACUAAACUGCCUUGCAACAUUACUCUUCAAAGGCUACAACAUUUAUUUCAAGCAAAUCCGGUCCAAAUGAAAAAAAUUAUUGACACAAGGUGUCUGACACAAGGUUGAGUUUCAUUAAUGUAACAUCCCGUAGUUAUAACACUCGAAUAACGCAUUCAAAACGAACCUUAGGACCCCAUUUUGAUGGUAGACCAUGUUUAGAUGUUGCGGGUUGUCUUGGGGUGCUUUUAGGCCUUAAAAGCGGGUGUGCGUCGUGAUUUUGACCCUCCACAAAGGCCUUGCAUCAUGGAACAAACGCAAACAGCCACUAGAUGGAGUUGGCUUUUGGCAUGCGCCGCCAACCCUGAGGCUGACUUUGGUUGUGUGCCGCCAAUCCUAAGGUGGGCUUUGGCUGUGUGCCGCAAGGCAAAAGCCAAGUAUCAUAAGUUGCUUAGUUUUCUUCUAUUUUAAGGGCGUUGAAGUCUUUUCACACCCUAUAACCAUUCCUAAUCUUAUAUGGACGAAAUUAAUCUCUUAACAUACGUUAUUUUCACUUCUCAAAUAUCUAAUUAUCACUCCAUAAGCGAGAGAGGAAAGAAUACCUAGGGUUGAGGAUUUUGAGUUCAAGAGGGUAAAUUACUCUACGUUUUUGUCCAUUUCAAGGUAUGUGGGACUAUCCUAAAACUCAUGGGCAUAAUCUUAUCGUUUAAACAAAUUUUAAAGGUGCAUGAUUACAUAUAUGAAACGGGUUUUUGAAUUGUUGAAGAGUAUGUAUUGUAAAUCCUGUUUUAUGAUGAAAUCUUGUAUAAACUAUGAGGUUCUUUUUUUGGCUAAACUUGAAUUGUUUUCAUUUGUACAUGGGUUAUGAGUUUUGAAAAUUGACAUGAGAGCAUACCUUACGAAAUUCCCUCUCUUAUUGUGAAUUCCAUUGCAUUAACAUGUUGUGGGUUGUUCAAUUGCAUGAUUAAAUAGCUUGAGUUAAAUGUUACAUUACCAAUUGUUGAUUUGCAGUGCUUUAUGAUUCUAUGAGAGGGUAUUUAUGAAUUUGUAAAUGCUUUACAUCCUAAUGGGAAAUUUCAUGUGUUUGAUGAUAGAAAUGACUACCCUAUGUUGAGGUACUAAAAAGGGAGUAUUUUGCAUGAGUUUUACAUGUUUUGAAAUAAGAACUCUCUUACAUUAAUUAAAUGUUUUGGUGGUCCAGUAACAUUCUUUUCGAUUGAAAAGACUAAGAUAUGAUAUACUAUGAUAUGGCAUAUACGACUUGCAAGUCUUGGUAUGACGAUACUAAAACAGAUAAAUGCUAUGGAAGAUUCAAAAUAGAACAAACUCCAGACUUCAGAUCAGAAUUUCAGUAAGAUGCAUGUUUUAAAAGGCUAAAAAUAGAUUGUAAGAGAAUUUAGAUGGUUAUACGAAGAAGGCACGGGUUCAGCUGACUCAUUUCCCAAAAUCGUAUUUUGCUGACGCGAGUCAUUAUAUCCUGAAAUAUGGAUAUUAUACGCUGGACAUGUGUCUUUCGGCGUAUCAGAAUAAGAGACUCCAGCCUGUGCGACAAACUUAGGUUGGGGGUUUGGCCUCCGAUUUAAUGGUGGACCCAUAUAGCCCAUGGGUAAUUAGAGUUGUAGGGUGUACCAUCUAGCUCAGAACUAAAGUAAAGACUUAAGUUGAUGUUUUACAAGCACGAGUGGAUGUUUUUCAUUGAUUAUGCCCAUAUGUUUCUAUAUAUAUUAUGAUAAAUUAUUUUCAGAAGGGCUCACUUAUUUUACAUGAAGUAUGUGUUAUUUUUGGAUUGUUAUACAUACUAGUACUUUCGAGUAUUGACCCCCCUAUCCACAGGUUCAGAGGCUCAGUCCCGGGGUCCAGCUCAGUACUAGAUUAUUCCCAUACUUUCAGAACUUGGUGAGCCUCCUUUACACCAAAAGACAUUCUAUUUAGAUGUAAUCUCAGUCAGUUUUAUGGUCCUGCCGGGGGCUUUGUCUCGGUUUAGUCAAAGUAGUGUUUAUUCUUUCAAUUUAGUAGAGGCUUUGUAGACUAGUGUAACAUGGAAUUUACAUUGUGAUAACAACUUUAUUGAUUGUAUGUUAGAGGGUACUUGUUAUCAAAUGCCUUAUAAUUUAAGAUGUUUAUUUGCUACUAUAUUAGUAUAUUGUAGCCCUGAUAAUCCAGAUGAAUUAUGGGAACGAUUUAAAGAUCCAAUAUCUGAAGAUGUUAAGAAUAUGGGAAAUAUUGUACCAAAAGAUAUCCACCUACCUAUUGUGAACCAUAUAAAUGAUAUAUUACAUUCUAUGGGACAUGAUAAUCAAAAAGUUCAACCUUGUUUCAGAAACUAUCACAUCUUCGAAAAGUCACUGAAGCAAAAAAGUAUAUUUUGAAAGAAACAUUAUUGUAAGUGAUGAAGAAUUGUUGUUACACAAAAUUAAAUACAGAACAAAAAAUAGCAUAUGACACAAUACUUCAGAGAAUAUAUACUAACAACUCGAGGGCAUUAUUUAUAGAUGGUCCCAGUGGAAGUGGUAAGACAUUCUUAUAUUGUGUCUUGUUAGCAACUGUUAGAUCCAAUGGAUUUAUAGCAUUAGUAACUGCAACUUCUGGUGUUGCUGCUUCCUUCCUUCCAGGAGGACGAACAACUCAUUCACGUUUUUUAUGUUUACGUAUGGAGUGAUGUCCUGAAUUUAUUAAAUUUGAUUAAAAGGGAUUGUUAUGCUUACAGUUUACCUUCCGCACAUCCAUUUCAUAUGACCUAUGCUUAUGAUUACAUGCUAAGAGGUCUCUCGGGUCUUCAUGGUUCAGGAUGACCGUUGCGACCAAGUCCUCGACUUGGGUCGUGACAAACUUGGUAGUAGAGCACGGUUCAGGGUCCCCGGGUGUCUACGAAGCCAUGUCGAGUAGAGUUUUUUUUAAUGGGUGUGUAGCACGUCAUACUUAUAAGGUGGAAGUUACGAGGCAUUUAGGAAUGUUUCUCUUUUCCUCAUGUUCUAGUUCAUGCUAUAGAGUCUGAAUGUUUCCUAACUCAUGAUUUCCUACAUUUCAGACCAUGUCUGAUCUAAUGAGCAGAUGACUUAUGUUGAUGAUGUCCGCCCUACUCAUGGGAUGCGGAUCCAUUAUAUAGCUCGUACCCAAGAAUUCAUUGCUACUCCAGGGGUUUCUCCAAUAUAAACCAGCCCUCCUCGGGCUCCUUGGUCCUAUGUUAAUCGUACUCAAUCCCCAUAGAGAGAGGUCUCAACUGUUGAGUUCCACCAGUCUGUCCAUAUGAUUUCUAAGCUUGUGGCUUUCAAUCUCGUUGGCCUAGAGAUGGGAGUUUUAUUCCUGGUUCUUCUAAAAUUACUCGAUUUGUCCAUUUCAUAAGGCUGAAUGCACCCACCUUUACGGGCACCAAGGUUGAGGAGGCUCCUCAAGGGUUAGUGGAUGAGAUGAAGAAACUUUUUAGAGUCACGCAUGCCAGUAAUGUUGAGGGGGUAGAGCUUGUGACCUACCAGCUGAAAGAUUUGUCUUGCCAAUGGUACAAUGAGUGGGAAGAGUUGAGGGGUGAGGAUUUUGGAUUUGCUGCAUGGAGUGAGUUUGUAGAGUCCUUCCUGGAUCGUUUUUUCCCCCAGGAAUUGAGGAAAGACAAUAGUGAAGAAUUUGUGAAUCUAAAGUAGGGGAAGAUGAGUGCCAAGGAGUAUGCGCUAAAAUUCACCCAGUUGUCCCAUUACACUCCAGAGUUGGUGUGAAAUAUGAGGCCUGUACGAGGAAGUUCACAUCCAGUCUCUCGAAUGAUUUGGUGUUAGAAUGUAAAAGGACAAUAAUGAACAAUGACAUGGAUAUAUCUAGGCUAACAAUGUAUAUACAGUAAGUAGAAGAAGAAAAGAAGAGACAGGAAGAGGUGGAGGAAAAAGAAAGGCAGGCUAAGAGGGGUAAGUUUGCGAAUCAAAAUGUCAGUCAGUAGCGAGGUGGCAAAUGGGGAAAACAAUGGUCUAAGAAGAAAUUCUGGAAUAGUGUUCAGUUAGCAACUAGUGCUUCUGCACCCAAACCUACUGGUGAGUCAAAGUUCCAUCCUAGUAGAGAACACCGAACUCAGGGUACUCAAUCUCAAGGUAGUGUGGCCCAGCCGUGUAGGUCGCGCCACGAUGUAACUCUUGUGGCAAGCAUUAUAUAAGGUACUAUCCCUCAGCUAGAGGAAAUUUUAGGGGUUCUAAGUCCCAAGCUAAUUCCACAACUCCACCACCUAAGGGUACCGUUUUUGCUACUAGGGGUGGUCGCAACCGAUUAUAUGCUUUGUCUACUCUCUAGGACUCAGAGGCUUCACCAGAUAUUAUUAUGGGUAUGUUACAGAUUUUCUCUCAUAUGUGUAUGUGCUACUUGAUCCGGGGUCUAACUUAUCUUAUAGGACCACUUAUGUGGAAGUUAGUUUUGGUUUUGGGCUUGAAAAAUAUUUCUAAACCCUUCUCUGUCUCUAUUGAGGUUGGUGACUAUUGUUGCUAGGCGAUUUUAUAGAAAUUAUGUGGUGUUUGUUUUCCAUCAAGAUACUAUGGCUGAUCUUGUAGAACUUGAUAUGAUUGAUUUUGAUGCUAUUCUGGGAAUGGAUUGGCUUCAUUCAUGUUAUUCUACCUUAUACUGUAGAACCAGAAAGGUCACCUUCUGUUUUCCUAAUGAGCCAGUCAUAGAAUGAGAAGGGUAUUCUCUUGCACCUAGGAGGAAAUUCCUAUCCUACCUUAGAGCCCAUAAACUGAUAGCUAAGGGUUGUUUGUAUCAUUUUAUCUGGGUCAAAUACUCUAGCACUGAAAGUCCUUUCCUCUAGUCUGUUUCAGUAGUUAAUAAAUUCCCAUAAGUCUUUUUUGAUGACUUCCCUGGGAUACCACCAGAUAGGGAAAUAGAUUUUGGCAUAGACCAUUUGUCAUACACUCGACCUAUUUUUAUUCCGCCAUACAAAAUGGCUCCUGCAGAAUUAAAAGAGUUGAAAGAAUAGUUAAAAGAUCUUCUUGACAAAGGAUUUAUUCAUCCUAGGUCUCUUCUUCGGGUUCUCCUAUACUCUUCGUGCGCAAGAAAAAUGGUUCUCUUCGCAUGUGUAUAGAUUACCGAUAGAUGAACAACGCCACAGUUAAGAACAAAUACCCUCUUCCCAAAAUUGAUGAUCUUUUUUACCAACUUCAGGGUGCCAAAUGUUUCUGUAAGAUAGACUUUAUUUGGGGUAUUAUCAGUUGAAGGUUAGGGAGGUUGAUAUUUCCAAAAUCAUUUUUCGAACUCGAUAUGGUCACUAUGAAUUCCUGGUAAUGUCCUUCGGACUAACUAGUUCCCCUGCAACAUUUAUGGAUCUUAUUAAUAGGGUGUUUCAUUAGUUUCUAGAUCUAUUUGUCAUAGUUUUAUCGAUGAUAUCUUGAUUUAAUCUAAGAGUGAGGAGGAGCAUGACAAUUACAUCCGAGUCAUCCUUCAGACUCUUAUAAACCGUGAGUUGUAUGCCAAAUUUUCAAAAGUGUGAGUUUUGGCUUAUUGCCAUUGCUUUUCUAGGGCAUAUUAUUUCUAUCAAGGGAAUAAAGGUUGAUCUCCAAAAGGUUGAGGCAGUGAGAAAAUGGCCCAGACCCACGACUCUAAUCGAUAUUCGGAACUUUUUGGGUUUUGCAGGGUAUUACAGAAGAUUUGUAGAGAGUUUUUCAUCCAUAGCUGUUCCACUUACCAUAUUGACUCAGAAGAAGGUGAAAUUUUUGUGGUCUGACUCUUGUGAGGAUAGUUUUGAGAAAUUGAAGGACAAGUUGACUACUGUACCUAUUUUGACCCUUUCGAAGGGUGCCGAGGGUUUUGUUGUGUACUGUGAUGCAUCCUGGGUAGGACUUAGGUGUGUACUUAUGUGGCAUUGUAAGGUAGUGGCUUAUGCAUCUAGAUAUUUGAAGCUGCAUAAGAAGAACUAUCCCACUUAUGAUUUAGAGUUAGCAGAUGUGGUGAUUGCACUCAAAAUUUAGAGUCACUAUCUUUAUGAAGUGCAUGUUGACAUCUUUACUAAUCACAAAAGUUUGUAGUAUAUGGUCACUCAAAAAGAGUUGAACCUCAGGCAGAGGCGAUGAUUGGAAUUGUUGAAAGAUUAAGACAUGAGCCUACACUAUCAUCCAGGUAAAGCCAAUGUGGUGGCUGACGCCUAUAGCAGGUUGUCCAUGGGCAGUCUUUCUCAUGUGGAGGAAGGAAAGAGGAACAUGGUGAAGAAUAUUCAUCAGCUUGCUAAUUUGGGUGUUCGAAUCCUAAAUUCCGAGGAUAAAAGGGUGAUACAAAAACAGCCCACCAAGAUGCCAAAACAGUCCACAAAACGUGAGAAGAACAAGCAACACAAAGGGAUACAAGAUGACAAACACAAAAACACACGGAUUUGCAAAAUAAUGAAAGGAUAGAUAGUGAGACCAAGAUUAUUACAAGAUUAAGAACCAAGUGUAUUUCAACACUAACCCUAAUGAAUGUAAUAAUCAAAACCACACUCUUACGGUGACCACUAAGGAAAUCAACUCACCUCAAGAUCCAUCGUUUCCAAGCAAAGGUCAAUAUUGGCUUUUCCAAGCCCUUUACUGAGGAUGACUUUUCCAAGCCCUAACUAAGACUACACUAAGGUGGUCUUCUCUCAAGAGAGAGGAUUUUCAAGUGUUUCAUACAUUCAUCAUUCAAAAACUAACUAGCAAAUUAACUAAUAGAAUCUAUUUAUAGUCUAACUUAUUACAUAACAAAAUGUCCAUAAUACCCUUAAUGAAAAUGGGGUGGUCAUGGAGUGUUACUUGGAUAAGGCUAAGUGAACAAAAUGCCCUUAAUGAAGGCCCAAAAUCGUGAGUCCUCAAUUUUCAUUGCUCCAAGCAGUCUUCCACACGUGGGAUUGCUAUUUGGUGUACUCAAAUCGGCCCCUCCAUGUAGGAUCCUGUGUCCUCAAUGCGACCAAAGCUUGAUGCCCCAUGUACUGACUUCGAAUGAUGUCAUCGAAAGCUAAGGUGACCAUUUGACUCGUAUCAAAGGUUGUUCGUACAAGAGGUAUCUAAAUUAUCCCUAUGUGCUGAGGUUGAGGAAAAUCAAACAAAAGACCUCAUUUUGAUGAAGAUUAAGAAAAAUCUUGGUCAACAAAAGGUCAUGGUAUUUGAAAUUAGAGGUGAUGGGGUUUUGAGGUACUAAGGUAGGUUAUGUGUGCCGAACAUGGAUGGGUUGCGACAAAGGAUUCUUGACGAAGCUCAUACUUCCUGGUGUGUUGUUCACCCUGUCUCUACUAAAAUGUAUCAUGAUCUCAGGGAGAUAGAUUUACUGGUAGAAUAACAUGAAAAGAGAUGUUGCUAACUUUGUGGCUAAGUAUUUGAAUUGUCAACAAGUUAAGGUGAAACAUUUGAGACUAGGUGGCAGUUCCCAAGAUAUAGCCUUGCCUUUAUGGAAAUAGGAGAUGAUCAACAUGGAAUUUAUUGCAGGACUUUCGAGGUUCUGAAAUCAAUACGACUUUAUUUGGGUGAUUGUAGACAAGAUGACCAAGUGAGCUCAUUUUCUGCUAGUGAGGACUAAUUAUUCAAGAGAUGAUUAGGCUAAGAUGUACAUUCAGGAGAUAGUUUGUUUGGUAUCUAUUAUAUUUGAUAGAGGUACGCAAUUCUUUUAUCAGUUUUGGCAGUCUUUUUAGAGGGGUUUACGUACCCAAGUAAGCCUUAGCAGCGUCUUCCACCCUCAAACGGAUGGGCAAGUAGACCUUAGAGGUAUAUUGAGGGCUUGUGUGAUUGACUUUAAGGGUAGUGGGUGGAUCACUUGCCAUUGAUAGAAUUCUCUUAUAACAAUAGCUACCACUCUAACAUCCAUAUGGCUCCUUUUGAGGCUCUAUAUGAGAGAAGAUAUAGGUCAUCGAUUGGUUGGUAUGAGGUGGGUGAAACCCAUUUUUUCAAACUUAACCUUGUUCAUUAGGCGAUAGAGAAGGUGAAAGUCAUUACAGAGCUACUUAAGAUGACUCAAAGUCGCCAGAAGUCUUACGCGGAUGUUAGGAAAAAACUUUAUAAUCCAGAAAAUACAAAAAUAUGUCCUUGAUAAUUGGGUGUUUCUAAAGGUCUCCCAUAUGAAGGAAGUCAUAAGAUUCGGGAAGAAAGAGAAACUCAGUCCUUACCACAUAGGUCCCUACCAAAUUACGAGAAGGAUAGGUGAAGUUGCUUAUGAGUUGGAUUUUUCGCAACUUUAGCUUCUAUUCAUCCUGUAUUUUCUGUAUCGAUGCUAAAGAAAUGUAUUGGAGGUCAUUCAUUUGUAUUGCAUGUUGAGGAGAUUGAUGUGAAUGAUUCGUUAUCGUAUGACGAAGAACCCAUAACUAUUUUAAAUUGUCAAAUUAGGAAGUUGAGUAAAGAGAUAACUUCGGUUAAAGUGUUAUGAAGAAUCAUAAAGCUGAGGAAGCUACUUGGGAGUAAGAGAGUGACAUGCAUGCUAGAUAUCCAACUCUUUUUGAAUCCACUGAUGACGAUAUAGAAGGUAUGAAACUUAUCUUACUCAUUUUAUUCCAUGUGAUGCUUGAAAUCAUGCUUUACGUGACUCAAAUCUUCAUGCGGGGAAGAAGGAUCCCAAGGUGGGAUAAUGUAACAUCACGUAGUUGUAAUGCUCAAAUAACACAUUCAAAAUGAGCCUUAGGACCCUUAUUUCGAUGCUAGACCAUGUUUAGAUGUUGUGGGUUGUGUUGGGGAUGCUUCUAGGCCUUAAAAGUGGGUGUGCCUUGCGAUUUGGACCCUCUGCAAAGGCCUUAUGUUACAGAACAAACGCAAAUAGUCACUGGAUAGAGUUGGCUUUGGCGUACGCCGCCAACCCUGAGAUUGGCUUUGGUUGUGCGCCUCCAACCCUAAGCCUGGCUUUGAAUGUGUGCCGCAAGGCAAAAGCCAAGCAUCAUAAUUUGCUCCGUUUUGUUUUAUUUUAAGGGCAUUGGGGUCUUUUCACACCCUAUAACUGUUCCUAAUAUUAUAGGGACAAAAUUAAGGUCUUAAGAUACAUUAUUUUUACUUCUCAAAUCGCUAUUAUCACUCCAUAAGUAAGAGAGGAAAGAAUACCUGGGGUUGAGGAUUUUGAGUUUAAGAGGGAAAAUUACUCUAUGUUUUUGUCAAUUCAAGGUAUAUGGGACUAUCCUAAAUCUCAUGGGCAUAAUCUUAUCAUUUGAACAAGUUUUAAAGGUGCAUGAUUACCUAUAUGAAAUGGGUUUUUGAAUUAUGGAAGAGUAUGUAUUGUAAACCAUGUUUUAUGAUGAAAUCUUGUGUAAACUAUGAGUUUUUUUUUCCUAAACUUGAAUUAUUUUCAUUUGUACAUAGGUUAUAAGUUUUGAAAAUUGACAUGAGAGCAUAUCUUACGAAAUUUCCUCUCUUAUUGUGAAAUCCGUUGUCAUAACAUGUUUUAGGUUGUUAAUUGCAUGAUUAACAGCUUGAGUUAAAUAUUACAUUAUCAAUUGUUGAUUUGCAUUGCUUUAUGAUACUAUGAGAGGGUGUUUUAUCAAUUUGUAAAUGCUUUACGUCCUAAUGGGAACUUUCAUGUGUUUGAUAAUAGAGAUGACCACCCUAUGUUGAGGUACUAAAAAGGGAGUAUUUUGCAUGAGUUUUACAUGUUUUGAAAUAAGAACUCUCUUACAUUGAUUAAAUUGUUUUGGUGGUCCAAUAACAUGCUUUUCGGUUGAAAAGACUAAGAUAUGAUAUGAUAUGGCUUAUACGACUUGCAAGUCUUUGUAUGACGAUAUCACCAUGGCAGAUUUAGAAUAGAACAAACUUCAGAUUUUUAAGAAUUCACAUCAGAAUUUCAGUGAGAUGCAUGUUUUAAACGGCUAAAAAUGGGUUGUAAGAGAAGUUAGAUGGUUACCCGAAAAAGGCACGAGUUCAGCUAACUCAUUGCCCAAAAUCUUGCUUAGCCAACGCGGAUCAUUAUAUCAUAAACUAUGGAUAUUAUACGUUGGUCGUGUGCCUUUUGAUGUAUCAGAAUCAGAGACUCCAGCCCUUGCGGAAAACUUAGGUUGGGGGCUUGGCCUCCAAGUUAAUGGCGGACCCAUAUAGUCCGUGGAUAAUCAGAGUUAUGGGGUGUACCAUUUAGCUCAAAACUAAAUUAAAGGCUUGAGUAAAUGUUUUACAAGCAUGAGUGAAAGCUUUUCAUUGAUUAUGCCCAAGUGUUUCUAUAUUUAUUAUGAUAAAUUAUUUUUAAUAAUGCUCUCACUUAUUUUACAUGAAGUACGUGUUAUUUUUGGAGUGUUGUACAUUCCAGUACUUUCGAGUAUUGACCCCCUAUUAUAGUUUCAGAGGCUCAGUUCUGGGGUCCAUCUCAGUAUUAGAUUAUUCCCAGACUUCCAGAAUUUCGUGAGCCUCCCUUAUACCGGAAGACAUUCUUUCUAAAUGUAAUCUCAUUUAGUUUUAUGGUUCGACUGGGGGAUUUGUUUCGGUUUAGUCAGACGAAUUUUUUUUAGUUCGGUAGAAGCUUCGUAGACUGGUGUAGCAUGAAAUUGUGUUUACUUAUGGAGUGAUGUCUUGAAUUUAUUAAAUUUGAUUAAGGGAUUGUUAUGCUUUCAAUUAACCUUCUGCACUUCCAUUUCAUAUGACUUAUGCUUAUAAUUACAUGCUAAGGGGUCUCUAGGGCCUUCAUGGUUCGGGAUGCCCUUCACGGUCAAGGCCUCGUCUCGGAUCGUGACACUUAAAUUCUUAACAUAGUUAAAAUUAUUACUAGUAUUCUUUGCUUCUUAUUUAAGCCAAGUUAAACUUGUAAGAUUAUUUGAGUAGUUAUUUAUGUGAGGCAAAAAAUCACGUGAUUUUACUAUCAUUCGUCUCAUAUUUAUUUUCUUUUUAGAAUCAUUUGAGCUUAAAUAUUAAGAAAUACACUCGUGUUUUAUGUUUAGCUCAUGUAAAAGUAUCUUGAGAUAUGUGGAGCUUAAGCAAGAAAAAAAAAGCACCAGAGGACCAAAAGGAAUCAAGGGAUGAUCAAUGUUGCAACGCAAUUCAAAAUGAGUGAAAAAGGCCAAAGAAGUGAAGCCUUGCGCCACUCCUCCAAAGCAAGAAGUGAUGCUGGUGGUGACUUCACCUAACCCAAUUUUGAUUAGUUUUUGAAAUUCCAAGGAUUCUUAACCUCUAUAAAUACCCCCAUCACACGUUUUCUAUGAUAGACAUUUGAUUUGGGAAGUCAAAGGCUAGAAAAAAUCUUAAAACAAGGUAUAGUUUUAUUCUCUUAUUUUAUUUUUGACUUUCAGUUGUAAACUCAUGAAAUCUCUUCUAAAAUUCAUGAGUAGCUAAACCUUUUAAUUUCUAGAGGUGUAGUUAAACAUGAAAGUUGCGGCUUGAGUA
rnacentral:lncRNA from 1 species